rnacentral:tRNA from 1 species
GCUCUUGUGGUGUAAUGGUUAGCACUCUGGACUUUGAAUCCAGCGAUCCGGGUUCAAAUCCCGGUUGGAGCU